UACAGAGGCCCCAAGCGUUACUGAGAAUCACUGGGUUUAAAGGGUGCGUAGGCGGUCCGUUAAGUUCGUUGUGAAAUCCCUGGGCUCAACCCAGGAAAUGCUUCGAAUACUGGCGGACUUGAGGCUAGUAGAGGUCACUGGAACUGACGGUGGAGCGGUGAAAUGCGUAGAUAUCGUCAGGAACGCCGAUGGUGAAGACAGGUGACUGGGCUAGUUCUGACACUGAGGCACGAAAGCGUGGGGAGCGAACGGG
rnacentral:rRNA from 1 species